GUGCUAAUAUUGGAUAAUGUGUAAUGUGAUAUAAUUGAAUACAUUUAUAUAAUUGAUAUACAUUGAUAUUUGAUAUCUUCUUCUAUAAAAUCGGUCAUGGACUUCAGUGCUUUGUGUUCAGCUGCACUCCAAACACCACCAACACAUAAAACAAAUGAAUAAUAAAAAAAUGAAAAUAUGUUCAAGUUUUUUUGUGUCUUCUCAGUGUAUACCGCUGUAUCAUAAAACACCAGGACACACUAAAGUUUACCACUGCUGUCUGUCAAUAUCUGAACAUAACAAACCAAGUAAUGUUGUAUUUUAAAUGGAGGUUUUCUACUUCAGAGUUUAUGAUUUAUACAGUUCAUAAAUUAUGAUUUUUUUUUUCUGGGAGACAAACAAAUGGCUGGACUUCCAGUGAAAGGAGUACAGCUGACCAUUAAAAGCUACAGGUUCAGAGUUACUCUCUAGUUUUACAGUUCCUGAAAUGAGAGUGUGCUACUUUUCUAAUCUUGUUUUGAAUCUUCCUCUCACUUCUGGUUCCUGGGCCUGCAGUUUCAAACUGACAGGACGAGUCGGCAGACGGCAGAGCCAACCCUCCCUGCUGUUUCAUGUGGCUUUGCCCAUAGGCAGGGACAUUACGAGUAUGCAGGCUGCCAGCUGCACACUCAUUCAUCCCCAUCUGUGAGUUUGGAAUUAUCAAAGACACAAAGAGUCUGUGCAAACACUGAAAUACACUAACACCAUAUUCUAUAAAACAUCUAACUCUGAAUAAGGCUGAAUUAGUGCAAUUAGUGUGGUGGAGAGUAAAGAUGGCAUCUUCCAGCAGAGGGAUCUGAGGAAUAUGGUCUUCUUGGUCCUCCUAAUAUACUGCUCUGUGUUGGUCUGUGUCUGUUGGAUGACAUAACAUCUGAUUUCUCACCUCUGAUGAUACAGAGGUGUAUCUGCUGAGUAAACGCUGUAGUAAAAAUAUGCAGAAGAAAUGAAAUCAAUAUCCUGCACCUUUGUGUUUCUGUUUGGAUAUAUAAUAUUGAUUUUAACUCCAGUUGUUUGACUUUUGAUUUUCCCAUCAGUGUCCACAUUAUUGAAGCUAAGUUGGUUUUGGAGAUAGAGGAGCAGAGUUUAAGUGAAGGGAUGGCGCUGUCAUUGGUCCCUGAUAGACUGAGCGCACUCUAGUGGAUGAUCAGAGUAAUUGCAGCUGUUUUUUAAACUAAUUUCAACAGGACUAAUGAUAUUUCUGCUAGAAAUCUGGUACUGAAUGCACUGACAGAAAUGAAUGAGCAUUUAUAUGGAAGUCUGUUGUAUCAUUUUGGUGAAUUCAAAGUUGCAAUUUUUUGAGGCAUCAAAUUCAAAAUGAGUGAAUAUUUGCAAAAAACAAU